rfam:Dipodomys ordii contig_60373, whole genome shotgun sequence.
GGUGGCUCAGUGGUAGAGUGCUUGCCUUACAUGCAUGAGGCUCUGGGUUCGAUUCCUUAAGCACCA